GUGCCAGCAGCUGCGGUAAUACGUAGGGUGCAAGCGUUAUCCGGAAUUAUUGGGCGUAAAGAGCUCGUAGGCGGUUUGUCGCGUCUGCUGUGAAAACUGGAGGCUCAACCUCCAGCCUGCAGUGGGUACGGGCAGACUAGAGUGCGGUAGGGGAGACUGGAAUUCCUGGUGUAGCGGUGGAAUGCGCAGAUAUCAGGAGGAACACCAAAUGGCGAAGGCAGGUCUCUGGGCCGUAACUGACGCUGAGGAGCGAAAGCGUGGGAGCGAACAGGAUUAGAUACCCUGGUAGUCCACGCCGUAAACGUUGGCGCUAGAUGUGGGACCAGUUCCACGGUUUCCGUGUCGCAGCUAACGCAUUAGCGCCCGCCUGGGAC
rnacentral:rRNA from 1 species